rnacentral:rRNA from 1 species
UGGGGAAUAUUGCACAAUGGGCGCAAGCCUGAUGCAGCCAUGCCGCGUGUGUGAAGAAGGCCUUCGGGUUGUAAAGUACUUUCAGCGGGGAGGAAGGGAGUAAAGUUAAUACCUUUGCUCAUUGACGUUACCCGCAGAAGAAGCACCGGCUAACUCCGUGCCAGCAGCCGCGGUAAUACGGAGGGUGCAAGCGUUAAUCGGAAUUACUGGGCGUAAAGCGCACGCAGGCGGUUUGUUAAGUCAGAUGUGAAAUCCCCGGGCUCAACCUGGGAACUGCAUCUGAUACUGGCAAGCUUGAGUCUCGUAGAGGGGGGUAGAAUUCCAGGUGUAGCGGUGAAAUGCGUAGAGAUCUGGAGGAAUACCGGUGGCGAAGGCGGCCCCCUGGACGAAGACUGAAGCUCAGGUGCGAAAGCGUGGGGAGCAAACAGG